rnacentral:rRNA from 1 species
UACGUAGGGGGCAAGCGUUGUCCGGAAUUAUUGGGCGUAAAGAGCGUGUAGGCGGCCAGAUAAGUCCGCUGUGAAAUCUCGAGGCUCAACUUCGAGCUGUCGGUGGAAACUAUCUGGCUAGAGUCCGGAAGAGGAGAAUGGAAUUCCAGGUGUAGCGGUGAAAUGCGUAGAUAUCUGGAGGAACACCGGUGGCGAAGGCGGCGUCCUGGACCAACACUGACACUGAUGAGCGAAAGCCAGGGAGCAAACGGG